rnacentral:rRNA from 1 species
UACGAAGGGGGCUAGCGUUGUUCGGAAUUACUGGGCGUAAAGCGUGCGCAGGCGGCUUCUCAAGUCAGGGGUGAAAGCCCAGAGCUCAGCUCUGGAACUGCCUUUGAGACUGAGUGGCUUGAGUACGAGAGAGGUGAGUGGAAUUCCCAGUGUAGAGGUGAAAUUCGUAGAUAUUGGGAAGAACACCGGUGGCGAAGGCGGCUCACUGGCUCGUAACUGACGCUCAUGCACGACAGCGUGGGGAUCAAACAGG